CCCGCAAGGGUAACCGGCGAACGGGUGCGUAACACGUGAGCAAGCUUCCGAUCUGUGGGGGAUAGCCGGCCCAACGGCCGGGUAAUACCGCAUACGUUCACUGGACGGCAUCGUCUGGUGAGGAAACCUCCGGGGCGGAUCGAGGUGCUCGCGGCCUAUCAGCUAGUUGGCGGGGUAACGGCCCACCAAGGCGACGACGGGUAGCUGGUCUGAGAGGAUGGCCAGCCACAUUGGGACUGCGACACGGCCCAGACUCCUACGGGAGGCAGCAGUGGGGAAUAUUGCGCAAUGGACGAAAGUCUGACGCAGCGACGCCGCGUGUGGGAUGAAGCCUUUCGGGGCGUAAACCACUGUUGCCCGGGACGAACCUCCCCAUUCGUGGGGACUGACGGUACCGGGUGAGGAAGCACCGGCUAACUCUGUGCCAGCAGCCGCGGUAAUACAGAGGGUGCGAGCGUUGUCCGGAAUCACUGGGCGUAAAGGGCGCGUAGGUGGCUUGGUAAGCGUGUGGUGAAAGUCCGGGGCUCAACCCCGGAUCUGCCAUGCGAACUGCCGAGCUUGAGCGAUGUAGAGGCAGGUGGAAUUUCGGGUGUAGCGGUGGAAUGCGUAGAGAUCCGAAAGAACACCAGUGGCGAAGGCGGCCUGCUGGGCAUCCGCUGACACUGAGGCGCGACAGCGUGGGGAGCAAACAGGAUUAGAUACCCUGGUAGUCCACGCCGUAAACGAUGGGUACUAGGUGUCUGGGGGAGCGACCCCCUGGGUGCCGGCGCUAACGCAU
rnacentral:rRNA from 1 species